CGUAGCUGAUCUUAGAGGAUGAUCAGCCACACUGGGACUGAGACACGGCCCAGACUCCUACGGGAGGCAGCAGUGGGGAAUCUUGGACAAUGGGCGCAAGCCUGAUCCAGCCAUGCCGCGUGAGUGAAGAAGGUCUUCGGAUUGUAAAGCUCUUUUGCCAGGGACGAUAAUGACGGUACCUGGAGAAUAAGCCCCGGCAAACUUCGUGCCAGCAGCCGCGGUAAUACGAAGGGGGCUAGCGUUGUUCGGAAUUACUGGGCGUAAAGCGCACGUAGGCGGGUCGUUAAGUCAGGGGUGAAAUCCCGGAGCUCAACUCCGGAACUGCCUUUGAUACUGGCGAUCUUGAGAUCGGAAGAGGUGAGUGGAAUUCCCAGUGUAGAGGUGAAAUUCGUAGAUAUUGGGAAGAACACCAGUGGCGAAGGCGGCUCACUGG
rnacentral:rRNA from 1 species